AUUGAACGCUGGCGGCAGGCCUAACACAUGCAAGUCGAGCGGAGCGGCGGACGGGUGAGUAAUGCCUAGGAAUCUGCCUGGUAGUGGGGGAUAACGUCCGGAAACGGGCGCUAAUACCGCAUACUCUCAGAUGAGCAUAGGUCGGAUUAGCGAGUUGGUGGGGUAAAGGCAUACCAAGGCGACGAUCCGUAACUGGUCUGAGAGGAUGAUAAGUCAAACUGGAACGGGGACACGUUCCAGACUCCUACGGGAGGCAGCAGUGGGGAAUAUGGGACAAUGGGCGAAAGCCUGAUACAGCCAUGCCGCGUGUGUGAAGAAGGUCUUCGGAUUGUAAAGCUCUUUAAGUUGGGAGGCGUUACCAACAGAAUAAGCACCGGCUAACUUCGUGCCAGCCGCCGCGGUAAUAC
rnacentral:rRNA from 1 species